UACGAAGGGGGCUAGCGUUGCUCGGAAUCACUGGGCGUAAAGGGUGCGUAGGCGGGUCUUUAAGUCAGGGGUGAAAUCCUGGAGCUCAACUCCAGAACUGCCUUUGAUACUGAGGAUCUUGAGUGCGGGAGAGGUGAGUGGAACUGCGAGUGUAGAGGUGAAAUUCGUAGAUAUUCGCAAGAACACCAGUGGCGAAGGCGGCUCACUGGCCCGUAACUGACGCUGAGGCACGAAAGCGUGGGGAGCAAACAGG
rnacentral:rRNA from 1 species